GACGAACGCUGGCGGCGUGCUUAACACAUGCAAGUCGAACGGUAAGGCCCUUCGGGGUACACGAGUGGCGAACGGGGGAGUAACACGUGGGUGAUCUGCCCUGCACUUCGGGAUAAGCCUGGGAAACUGGGUCUAAUACCGGAUAGGACUCCUGGCUUCCUGGUUGGGGGUGGACCGCUUUUGCGGUGUGGGAUGGGCCCGCGGCCUAUCAGCUUGUUGGUGGGGUAAGGGCCUACCAAGGCGACGACGGGUAGCCGGCCUGAGAGGGUGACCGGUCAAACUGGGACUGAGGUACGGCCCAGACUCCUACGGGAGGCAGCAGUGGGGAAUAUUGCACAAUGGGCGCAAGCCUGAUGCAGCGACGCCGCGUGAGGGAUGACGGCCUUCGGGUUGUAAACCUCUUUCAGCUAUGACGAAGCGCAAGUGACGGUAGUAGCAGAAGAAGGACCGGCUAACUACGUGCCAGCAGCCGCCGUAA
rnacentral:rRNA from 1 species